GCUUUAGUUCUGUGGGGCAGGAUUCCCCCUGUGUUUGUCCAUCUUCCAGCUGGUUUUUGAUGAAAGGUGCUGUAAGGUGCCUGCUAGCAGCACUGAGUGUGUCCUUAUUCCUCAGGCAGAAUUUAUUGCUCUGAGUCCCCCAGCUCAGGGCAGUUACUGCAUGGCACAGAUGAACAGAGAGCAAAGGCAAAGGCUCGGAUUGUGUCACAGCCAGGCUGUGGUCCACACACCUACAAUGUAACCCAAAAGCAGUUACGGGAUUUUUUAUCAAAAAUGCUCUUCAAUUUCUGUUUCUUCUGCUAGUGCAGAUAGCUCCCAUCUGGUGAUUAUCUUGCACCAAGUCUGUAGAGCACUCCCUCAAGGGCUGCCAUAUUUGAUGUGCUUUAUCUCAAGGCAAGAUGAAUUAUUAAUCUCCUACUCAACCUGAGUCCAUAGGUAGGGAAUGUGAAUGGUUAGCAUGUGUUGCUGUGUCUUUUGAGAUCUUCCUUACUUGACUUGCCUGCCUUAUCUACAAGGCUUACAGUUUCACUCAGUGUCUAGAAUUCUCAGAUGCUGAGUCUCUUCAGUCACCUGGAUGGACUCUGCAGUUUGGGUUGAAUUUUUGAUCAAUCAGCAAAACAUAAAAUCAUAACACAGACUCAGACUUUGCAUAAAGGAAAUGUGAGACUCUUGCUAAGUGCAUGGAAGAGGAUGCUGCUGGAGAUGAUGCUGCCCAUGAAUAGCCCACUGACAUAGGAUGGGUAUGGGAAUUCUUGUUGUUUAUUGCUAUCAUUCUGCCAGGGGGCAGGAGCAGGAUAUAAAAGUCACACCUGCCCCAACUCGCAGGGACCUCCGGCACCUUUCAUCUUUUCAUAUCCCUUCUUGAAUGAUCUCUGAACAUCGAUUCAUUGAUUGGGUAUGUAUUUGGAAACAAGAAGGGAUUUAUUUCACAGUCAGUAGUAAAGAUGGCUUUAACCAUAUGCCCGCUUCUUUGCCUUUGUGUCCUUUGGCUUUUACUUCUAUGUCUCACCGAGUGCAAACCUUCCAUCUUUCCGAGAUUCAUCCAUCCAUACAGAUUCUUACCUGAAUAAAUACCUGUCUGCCACAGACCUAUUCAUUUGUCCCCAUUACAUUCAGGCAGGCUUGAGUCUGGUAAGCCCAGACAUACACGCUUGUAAAUAUUUAAGACUUCUAUACCCCUGUGUGAACACAUUUGAAUGUCUUGUUGAGGAAUUUGUGGUCCACACAGAAAUCAUGCAACUGCCAUGAGACUGGCCAAGAGAUAAGGAAACUCAAAAACCAUACAGAGCUCUUGAGAGCCGAAAGCACAGCCUUACCAGUCUGCAGAAUCCAACCAUACAUGGGUGUGCAGCUCGCUACUGGAAUUGCUUUCACUUUCACUUUUGUUCUGCUGUUUAAUCAAUUGCUGACGUGGCGACAGAACAGAACCAAUCUGUGUGACACAGAGGCACAGAAGAUUUCCUUAGUCCUCGGAGUUGGCGAAGCACUGACCACUGAACAGAAUGUCAAGUGAAGGGAAUUGGUAACUUCUUGGAAAAAGGAUUAUGAUGCACUGUCCAUACUGCUUAGCACCAUAACUCUGGUUCUAGCAGAAGAAAAAGCAGAGUCUGAGUUUGAACACCCACAAAAAACAUAGUUAAAGAAUUGCUGUGUUGUUACUUACUUUGCAUGAUCAACUCUCAUUUUUUAAAUACUUCUGGCUUUAAUUAAUGUACACUGGUAUGAUAUACUGACAAAAAAUAAACAUCAAAUAAAGUUUCCC
ensembl:lncRNA